rnacentral:rRNA from 1 species
UACAGAGGUCCCAAGCGUUGUUCGGAUUCAUUGGGCGUAAAGGGUGCGUAGGUGGCGCCGUGAGUCAGGUGUGAAAUCUCGGGGCUUAACUCCGAAACUGCAUUUGAUACUGCGGUGCUUGAGGACUGGAGAGGAGACUGGAAUUUACGGUGUAGCAGUGAAAUGCGUAGAGAUCGUAAGGAAGACCAGUGGCGAAGGCGGGUCUCUGGACAGUUCCUGACACUGAGGCACGAAGGCCAGGGGAGCAAACGGG